GAGGAUCUGGUCACGGUGGCCUGGGACGAGAAGAAGAUGAAGGACUUCAUGAGCACCCUGAACACACAACUGGAGGGCACUGAGUCAUGUGUCGUGUCUAAGAUGAAGAAGAGCAAGAGACUGAACCUGUACUUCAAGAAGCUGAGAAAUGAAACACUGGGGAAAAUGGAGGACGAGGCCCAGGCAUGGGAGCUGAUCAGGAAGGAGGUGCACAAGCAUCUGAAGUGGGUCGACCUUUUGGCCAGCACACGCCUGUAGUCUAAACACCCAGGCUUACCACAGCGGUGGGAAACCGUACUGAAG